rnacentral:rRNA from 1 species
GACGAACGCUGGCGGCGUGCUUAACACAUGCAAGUCGAACGGAAAGGCCCUGCUUUUGUGGGGUGCUCGAGUGGCGAACGGGUGAGUAACACGUGAGUAAACUGCCCUUGUCUUUGGGAUAACUUCAGGGAACUGGGGCUAAAACCGGAUAGGAGAUCCUGCUGCACGGGGGGGGUUGGUAAGUUACGGCGGUGGGGGCUGGACUAGAGGCUUACGCGCUUGUUGGGGGGGUAGUGGAUUACCAAGGCUUUGAAGGGUAGCCGGCCUGGGAGGGUGACCGGCCACCAUGGGCCUGCGGUACGGCGCAGUAGCCUACGGGACGCAGCGGUGGGGAACCUUGCACAGUGGGCGCAAGCCUGAUGCAGCAACGUCCCGUGCGGGAUGACGGCUUUCGGGUUGUAAACCGCUUUCGCCUGUGCCGAGGCGUGAGUGACGGUAAUGGGUCAAGAAGCACCGGCUAACUACGUG